rnacentral:rRNA from 1 species
GCAACUCGCCUACAUGAAGUCGGAGUUGCUAGUAAUCGCGGAUCAGAAUGCCGCGGUGAAUGCGUUCCCGGGUCUUGUGCACACCGCCCGUCACACCAUGGAAGUUGGGGGCGCCCGAAGUUGGUCGGGAAAUAGAUUACCUAAGGCGAAACCAAUGACUGGGGUGAAGUCGUAACAAGGUAAC